rnacentral:rRNA from 1 species
GACGAACGCUGGCGGCGUGCCUAACACAUGCAAGUCGAACGGAGUUACUUCGACAGAUCCCUUCGGGGUGAAGAUGAUUUAACUUAGUGGCGGACGGGCGAGUAACGCGUGAAUAACCUGCCCAUAAGAGGGGGAUAACACAGAGAAAUUUGUGCUAAUACCGCAUAUUGAAUUUUAACCGCAUGGGUUUUAAAUUUGAAAGAUUUUAUCGCUUAUGGAUGGAUUCGCGUAAAGAUUAGCCUAGUUGGUGAGGUAACGGCUCACCAAGGCGACGAUCUUUAGCCGAACUGAGAGGUUGAUCGGCCGC